rnacentral:lncRNA from 1 species
AAAGAAUUUGACGGCUGGUUAAUGUAACAGUGCCCUCNUCUUAGGUUUGUGUGCCCUCAAACUCUGGACGCUGCAUGGGAGCUGCUGGACUGUGGCUAUUUGCACCUCUCCAAAUAGAUUGAAUCAUGUUGGGCCGAGAGCUUUGUUGUGGAAUGCAGCAAGGAAAAUACGUAGUCAGCAGCAUCAACACAACAGGCCGUGUGUGAGUGAAGGCUUCUGCUGGACCGAAUACUUCUCAAAUAUGGACGUUGCAGUGGAGUCGCUAUGGGCCGUGG